rnacentral:rRNA from 1 species
AACGGCCGUACCAUGCUGAAUAUACCGGUUCUCGUUAGAUCACCGAAGUCAAGCAUCAUUGGGCGCGGUCAGUACUUGGGUGGCUGACCACCUGGGAACACCGCGUGCCGUU